AUGCAAAUCAGGGCGAAGAGAACCUGCUAUGCCGCUGCCUCAUCUGGGGCACGCGGAUGGGCCGAGCUCCCGGACGACUUGCUCCGACCCAUCAUCGCUCUCCUCAGCUCGUUCCGCGACCUCCUCGCCUUUGGUUCCACCUGUCGUCCCUGGCGUGAUUUCUCAGCGCACACGUCCUCUUUGUACCCUCUCCUCCUCCACCCGAGCACCGAGAGCCAACGGUAUCCCUGGUAUGACUGUGACUACUGGACCCUUUUCCACGAAUGCACGUGGAGAUUGGCUGAUCCUGCUGCCGCCUCAUCCUAUCCCAGUUUGCUUUCCUUGAGUGAUCUCAGGGGCAUGUUCCUUCUGCGCUGCUCCUACGGUCACCUCAUCUUCUUCGACAACAAGGGGUUCUACAUUGUUAAUGCGUUCAGUGGCGCUAAGGUUGUGCCUCCUUGCCUCAAGUCAGACAACUUCAUUCACAUUAGCUAUGCCACCUUGACUGCCCCUGUUGCAUCCGCUGACUCGCAUCUCCUUGUCGGCAGCGGAGGCUAUCUGUUUCAGUGGCGCGUCGGGAGCGACUCUUGGUUGGAACACUAUCCUAAAGUUCCUUUUCUUAGGAUUGAACAAAUCGUGGCCUUCAAGGGCAAAACAUACACCCUGGGGUCUUUUGGGUCCUUCUGCAUCGUAUAA
rnacentral:rRNA from 1 species